CUCAGUGUAGAUAUAGUAAACUCCAUAUUUGCAUUUCCCAGGGUGUGUGUAUUGUACCCAGUUUUGAGGAGUUAUUUUCCAAAUGAGUCUCAUGGUGGAAUGAUUCUGGCAAUUUGCUAAUUUGGUAUAACAAACUUAAACAGUAAGAAGGUUUUUCUAUUUUGUUUUGUUUCCUUGUUUGCUUAGGAAAAGGACUCUUUAGAACCUUUAAGCAACUGAUGGGCAUCAUGGCUUUUCAGAAAUGGGAUUCAGAGCAUGGCAUUUCCCAGAUUCCUGCUAUU
rnacentral:lncRNA from 12 species